CAGAGAGCAAGUGCCUUGGCUUGCCUUGCAUUAAAUUAUAAAUAAUUUUAUCAAUAUUCUGAAGUAUGGAAUUCCAUAUUUGCAAAAAUGUGAGAUAUGGAGUCUUCCAUAGCUUCCAUAGUGGAAACGACACCCAUGUAUUUAUGAAUUCAUCAUUUUCUUUUUUCGUCAUAAAAGAUACUGUAUUCAAAUUUCGCUCUUAUUUCUAUCACUUAAUAAUCAAAAUAGAAAAAAAAGUUAACAUAAUGUUGCAAAAACGAAUGAAAAUUAGUCAAGGAUGUAUAAAAAAAAUAAUGUCCUAUAUAUAUAAAAAACACUUGAUUGUCUGGUUGUUACAAAGGUCACGCUAUACACGAUCUCUGAUCUGAAUUAUUAGCCUAUAUCGUCCAUUACUUGUUUUUUAUUACUAGUGAAAACCGAUAAGUGAUUUAGUAAUAUUCGAACUGUAACAUAAAACAAUUUGUUAACAUGGAACAAGAAAAUAUAUCCGACCUUUGCUUUAAACGGGAGACGAAUUUCAGCUGAUCAGCAGUAAGAGAUGAUCAUUACAGAUCGAUCAUAUUGAUAUAUCCGCGCUAUAAGCUGAAAUACGCAUUAUUAGUUUCUCAUCGUCGCUUAUAAAUUGUUAAUAUAGAGGAUAAUUUGUUUUCGUAAUGACAUUUUUAAGCGAAUCCUAAAUUGAACACUAUCUAAGUAAGUAUUUAAAAUUAAAAAAAAAUGUUGUAUUUUUUUUUUUUUUUAAUUUUAUUUUAAUUAAAACACUAUUGAUUGAAAGA
rnacentral:lncRNA from 1 species